AUUGAACGCUGGCGGCAGGCCUAACACAUGCAAGUCGAACGAGUGGCGGACGGGUGAGUAAUGUCUGGGAAACUGCCUGAUGGAGGGGGAUAACUACUGGAAACGGUAGCUAAUACCGCAUACCAUCGGAUGUUCCCAGGUGGGAUUCGCUAGUAGGUGGGGUAACGGCUUACCUAGGCGACGAUCCAUAGCUGGUCUGAGAGGAUGACCAGCCACACUGGAACUGAGACACGGUCCAGACUCCUACGAGAGGCAGCAGGAGGGAAUAUUGCACAAUGGGCGCAAGCCUGAUGGAGCCAUGCGGCGUGUAUGAAGAAGGCCUUCGGGUUGUAAAGUACUUUCAGCGGGGAGGCGUUACCCGCAGAAGAAGCACCGGCUAACUCCGUGCCAGCUGCCGCGGUAAUAC
rnacentral:rRNA from 1 species